AGUCACUAACUUUGGUCAGUGAUGCCAAUUGCCUGAUCUUUGGACCUUUCGCCGUGAGCUGAAAACGCACUUAUUUAUUCAAGCGUGAAUCGCUGCAGGUGAUAAGUUAGUAAACCGGUCGUUAAAUGAAGCUUCCCCAUUGGCACGGCUGGUCAGAAGGUCGCAAAAAGGGGAUCACAUGGUCUUGGAGACUACAGCAUUGGUCGCUCUGCGGUUUACUUUACAGUUGUAAAAGGUGGAUUCAAACCAGGGAGAAAAAGCAACGCAGCUGUAUCUUCAAAGGGAUUUUUAGCUAUAGGACUUCAGGGGAUAGUUAGAACUGCAGAAUAAACAAUGGCUACCAACCUGCCUGCCUUCCAUUGAGGACCUAUAUACUGCAUGAGUCAAAAAGAGGGCUGUGAAAAUAUUUACAGACCCCUCGCAUGCUGGACAUAAACUGUUUCAACUCCUACCCUCAAAACGAUACUACAGAGCACUGCACACCAGAACAACUAGACACAAGAACAAAUUUCUUCCCGAAUGCCAUCACUCUGCUAAACAAAUAAUUCCCUCAACGCUGUCAAACUAUUUACUAAGUCUGCACUACUAUUAAUUUUCUCAUCAGUCCCAUCACCCAUCUCCUUCCACUUAUGACUGUAUGACUGUAACUUUGUUGCUUGUAUUCUUACGAUUGAUAUUGAUUGUAUCCUGAUUGCUUAUUUGUACCCUAUGACUAUCAUUAAGUGUUGUACCUUAGAAUUCUUGAUGAACGUAUCUUUUCUUUUUAUGUACACUGAGAGCGUAUGCACCAAAGACAAAUUCCUUGUGUGUCCAAUCACACUUGGCCAAUAAAAAAUUCCAUGCUAUUCGAGAAAGUCAAACCACAUUCUGAAACUUUUAAGUAGCCAAUACUACAAAAUAAAUUCUUCACUGUAGGCAAGAAACAGGUCCUGUAAGCACCCUGUUGAACAUCUUUGGGAUGUUGGUUAAGUAGAGGACAAUAUGGUGGGCACAGUGGUUAGAAUACAAUAUUGCAGGUUAACUCUGCCCAUGUCUAGAGCAGUGAUGGUUAAUCUUUUUGCCAUUGUUUGCCAGGAAGGUGGAUGGGGGGAUCGCGCACAUGUGCCCACACCCAUAAUUCUAUGCCACCUGGCCCCAUGAAUGCAUGCCCGAACCCCCCCCCCUUCCCCCUGCUCCCAGCACUCCUGGCACAGGAUGGCCUGGUAGGUCCGCUUUUCUCUCUCACCUGGCUCCAGAGCCUUUCUAGGAGUCUGGGGAGGGCGAAAAAAGCCUUCCCCACCCACCCACCCUAGAGUUCCUCCAGACGCCAAAAAUGUCCCCUUUGCCAACUUCCAGUGGGACUGGAAGGCCCAUUUUUUUGCCGUCCCCAGCCUCCAGGGUUUCUCUAGGAGUCUGGAGAGAGCAAAAACGGACUUCCCCAUCCACCCGGAGGUCCUCCGGAUGCCAGAAACAGCCCAUUUGCCAACUUCCAAUGGGACCGGAAGGCCUGAAAAUCAGCUGGCUGGCGCUGCCCGGUGCACCGGAGCUGAGCUCGUGUGCCCACUGAUAUGGCUACACAUGCCACCUGUGGCACACGUGCCAUAGGUUCGCCAUUACAGGUCUAGAGUUUGAUCCUGAUGGACUCAAGCUUGACUCAGUCUUUCAUUGGUAAAAUGGGGAGCCAGAUUGUUGGGGGCAUAUGCUGAAUCUCAGAGAGUGUGAAGCAAUAUAUAAGUGCUAUUGCUAUUAUCCAUUGUAUCGUUGUAUCGUUCACCAUCUCCUUUACAAUGAGAUUAGGGCCAUAAUUGGUGUUAGGGGGACUUUAGGGCUUGGAUCUUUAAAAAUUGAAUUAUCUUCUUGCAAAAGUAUUCCCAGAUAUUAGGAAUAGAAUAGAGUAGAGUAGAAUAGAAUAGAAUAGAAUAGAAUAGAAUAGAAUAGAAUAGAAUAGAAUAGAAUAGAAUAAUGACAUUAUAUUAACAUGAAAUUUUGUUGCCUGCAGCUCUCAAAGAGUCACCACCUCCAAUGUAUGCUACAUAAACAUGACUAAAUAAAUAAAUACAAAAUUAUGCAUA